AACUAAUAGUUAAGCCUAAACCAACGCAAAGGAACCCUAGGAUUAUUCACAGCCACCACCCAAGAAUAGAGGAGGGAAGAGCAUCAAGCUCUGGCGAAGGCACUGCACUUGGCAAACGACAUCCACAGCACCCAAGGAAGGUCAUGACAUUGUUAAAACCCUGAAAAGAAACACCAAGGUUAUCGCCAACUCUACUAUGUACUCCAGACGAAGAGGAGCCAAAGUCGAACAAAAAAGAAAACACAAUAGGCAACCACCAAAUAUUAGAUCUUGUGUGAUAACACCAAAUGCCAUCAAAAAAAUAGAUCCAACAAAAACUUGGAUGGGUACUGAUGAAGAAAGCAUAGAAAACAAUGGGGUCCAUUAGAACGAAAGAGAGGAAAUUGACGUCCUUCACUAAAAGGAAACUGCGAACAAGAGAAAGAAAGGUCUAGAAUGGUAGAGAAAAGGACCUCCUAUGAUAAAAGCCACUACUCUUUUGUCAGCGACCUAAAGCGAUGAACAAAAAGAAUAAAGCUUGGACUAUCAUACCUAAAAGAAAACAAAUGAAAGAACACAUAAGAUCUAUGGUGGAAGGGUGAGAAAAAUCAACCCAGAGGCUCGUUGACGCCUCACAAAGAUACCAAAGUUAAAGCUUGGAGAAGGGAUGGAACUUUUUCUAGAUAUUUCUAGAAAGAAGGGAGAGGAUUUCCCUUAGAAAGAGAAAAUAAUAUAGUUUAUAAUUCUUUUUAGUUGACUUUAAAUUUGUUUUAUUAUGUAUAACUUGUUUAAAAAUUGUUAAAGUAUCUUUGAUUUAGUAUCUAACAUGUUAGGAAGCAUUUAGGAGCAUGAUUGCAUGGCUUGAACUAUCUUCUUUUUUUUUUGCAUUUCUAGGCUUUUGUCUGGAGAUAGUACAAACUUGUCUUGAGAUAGAUAAAGCAUUUUUGCUUAAACAUGAAUUUUCUGGGUCCAUGCCUCGAGACAUGAAAGGACAAGUCUCGAGGCAAUACGAGUUAGUAUCUAAAAUUCGAUUUCAAGUAAGCUUUUCAAAAUCGGACUAAUGGUCGAAUGGAUCAUGCCAUCAGUUCACCAGUCCAAUCGAUUUGAAUGGUUUCAUUGACCUAAAUGAUUUGAUUAAGUAAAUCAUUAAAAUUAUUAACAAAUAAAAUAAUAUUAAAAAUUGGUUCAAUCUAUUCAACUUCCUAUUUAAUUUAUUUUUGGCCUAGUUAAACCAAUCCAUAUUGGUUCUUGACUCAAUUGGUCUAAGCCUUUCUCUAGACCGAUUGCCCGACCAAUUCUCAAUCCAACUGGUUUGAUUGGUUAGUCUGGUUCAGAUAACAUUGGUUCCAAGGAUCACAAGUCUUGAGACAUGGACCCUAUGCCUUAAGACAUCAGACCUUUUUCGAUACUUUUGGCCUAAUGAUUCAGAUUGGCUCAUUGUUUGACCAAAUUUAAUACCAUAACAUUGUAUGAUGGCCUAUUUAAGCUCAUAUAUUUUUUAUAAUGAUCAUUGAUGCACGAAUAUGAUAUUUUUAUAUUUUAUAACUCAUUUUUAAAAUAUGUUUUAUUUGUAUGAUGGAUCAAAUAGGUUGCAUUAGCAACGAAUGUAACAUUCUUUAACUAACCAGGCUUCCAGACCAUGUAAGGAAUGUUAUAUAAUAUAUAUUAAAAUUUGAUAGUAAUUAGAAUAUAAAAUAUCCAAUUAAUAGAAAUUCAAUAAAAAUAAUUUAUUGUUAAAACUAAAAACAUGUUCAUCAUCAAUACUCAAGAACAUAGAUUAUAGUCGAUAUGUGUUAAUGGUUACAGAGACAAAUUUCUAUUUGUUAAUAACUAUGUGUAGCUGUCACGGAGCUAAAACUUUAGUCUCACAAUCCGUGCGACCUUAGGCGAUUCCCUCGUCUCAAACACACCUAAGUUAGCCUAACCACCAACAAUUGGAGAUUCACAUAGAAAAUCCUCUAACACACCAAUUUGUAUAGCAAAAGCAACACAAAGCCAAAAAAGUGCUCUAUGAACAGAAUCGUCACAGAAAAACUAUGCAUGAGAGGUGUUUGAGUAUAUGCUCUCAAUUCUAUUCACUUUCAAAGAAUACAAAAACAGAAGAUUAAUGGAUGAUUUACAACUGAGGAAAGGCUCUCUAUUUGUAGUUGAGCUCCCCCAAAACUGACGAUAUAGAUCGAAUUACAUCAACAGACGAGAUGAAAUCUAUCCCUACAAUCAAGGGAUUUACCAGAUUAUAUAAUCUAAUCUAAUAUAAUCUUACAAGAUGUUAUUCUAUUCAAUCUUCUAAGAUUAGUUCCCUAUUUAUCAAGGUAACCUAACUUUCCAUAUCCGUAUCAUUGGGCCACCCAAGCUUCAAAUAUAGGCUUCUUCAACAGUUCUUUGAAUCGGGUCAAUUUUCGUGGGUUAAAUGAUCCCCAUUUAAACGAUAAACCUCCACGGGAGCAGAGGCAAAGCUAGAAAAUUUUUUUAAGGGGGCCGGAUGAAAUUUUAAUUUUUUAUAGUUUAUAUUUUUAUAAUUUGUAAAGGAUUAAAUUAAAUUUUUAUAAUUUUAGGGGGGCCAAAGUAGAAUUUUACAUUUACUAAUUUAAAAUUUUUAAAAAAUUUCAAGGGCCUAAAAUGAAAUUUUUUAUUUUAGGGGGCCUGGACCCAUGCCAGCCCCCCUAGGUAUGCCCCUGCAUGGGAGGCUUUCUAUACGAUGGUCACGAGCUUUGAAUUGCGGCCCGUAACAUAGGUUCAAACCUUUUUAUUUUAUUAUGUCGACAGCAUGUUAUAUAAUAAUCAAAAUAAAUAAAAUACUAACAAGUAAACACUAAAUAACAAGCAAAAGGCACUAGAGAACUUUCUUGUAUAUUUCUUUUCACUUACAAGAGGCUCAUUUUAUAAGCCUUCUAACAUUUAGUUAAGUACAUAUAAAUGAACGCUUAAUUUCUUCAUUCAAACAUCCACUUUACUCUAGCAUUUUCCAAUCUCGUGAAUGAAUGGAAAGAGUUUUAUCUCAUAACUUAAUAGAAGGUUUUAAGAGGUUAUAGACAUCAACUUUUAAUAUAUUUAUAAUAGAAAAUUUUAUUUAAACUUCAUAAAAUUAAAAAUAUAUAUAAACUCUAGAAAUUUUUCAAUAAUUUAAAAAAUAUUUUUUUCAAUGAACUCAAAAAUAUACUCAAAAAUUCUAAAAAUUCUAAAAAAUAGUUAAAUAUUUGGAAAUUACUAAUUACGAAAGCUUAAAAUUCAUAUAUAUUAUAUUAGAGAAAUCUUAAUAACUUUAAAAAAUAUUUUUUUAAACUUAAAAAUAAAAUAUAUAAUUUCUAAAAAAAAUCUAUUUUUUUAUUCAACAACCUGUCAAAUUCAAUCAAGAAUUAGUCAUCCUUGAUCAACAACCAAUCAAACGGAGUUAGUUAAAGUCAACUGGGUCAAAAUCAACAAAGUUUUUCUAAAAUAUUUAAUUAUUUAAAUACUUUAUUUCUUUCAAUUUAUAUAUAUUAGAAUUAUUCAGAAAUUAUAUAUUUUUAAUUUCAAUAUACAUGGGUGCCACACAUUGUGUUUUAAUUGACCUUAGGUAUCACAUAACACAUUCUAUUAGGAGCCACAUGCCAACAAAUUGGGUAAUAAGAUAUAAAUUUAGUUAUCAAUCCAAACUAAAAAAUGUUUAGCUAGCAAAGUGAUAAAAAUGGUAUAAUUUUAUAGCCAAAUCAUGCAUUAAGCCUUAUAAUAAUAUUGAGUUGAUCGAGGUUAUUAAUUUGAGUCAAACUUAUGAAUUGGAAACAAAAAUACAUUAAGACUAUAUAUGAACUUUGGUUCAAUGUGUAAUUUGAUACAAAAACUUUGAUUUGGUGCAAUUAUACACAAUAAGCUUUGAAUGUGGUUCAAAUUAAUAAAUAAAAUUUUGAUUUUGAUACAAUUGUACUUUUUUAAAAAAAUAAAUACACCAAUUUAUUUUUAUAUUAGAUAAGUAUAGUUAUUUUUGUAUGCAAUAUACAAAAAUAAGUGAUGUUAUAUAGAGAAUGAUGUUAGUAGUUUGUAAAAACUGAAUCAAAUCCUAGAAAGAGAAAACAAUACAUAAAAAUAAUGUUUAUCUAAUUAGGUGUUGGUUCUUGUCUGUCGUUUGGCAUGUUUUUCAACUGCCGAUUGACACGUUUUUAGUCUUCCUCAAUAGGAGAAUAAUGCAGGAAGAGUUAGCUAAUCUGUACAUAAUUGACGUUGAAGAGGAACCUUUCUAGAUCCAGGGAGAAAUACAGGCGCUAUUUGAAUACUAUAAACUAUGUUUGGUGGGAAUCUAUUUGACGGUAAGCGUAGUGCAUUUUCCUUCAAUGAGGAACAAAAUGGCUGAUCUAUGGCACCCUUUAGAGGGCAUCUCCAUUACAGAUAUUGGUGACAAGCGAUGUUUAUCUUGAUUUUUCUAUGAGGUGGUCUAUGAGGUGGAUAUCAAUCAGUUGCUGGAGGAGACACCAUGGUUUUUUAAUAACCAUUUGCUUAUUCUCCACAAGUUUCAACCAAGGGAAGACUCAUUUAUGGCCCCGUUGAUUUAUGCGAAGUUCUACGUUUAGGUACAUAACUUGCCUCUAAGACUUAUGUCGGAGUCAGUGAGGCAGAAGUUUGGGAUUUUCUUAGGGACAUUUCUUGACUAUGAUGCGAAAAUGGUGGUGUCGGAAAUGAAAAGGUUUAUGAGUAUUAAAGCCAAACCGGAUGUCUGGCUUCUAUUGAAAUGCAAAAAAAGAAGAUUACUCUAGAGCUUAACCGUUUUUGUGUAUGCUAAAUUCCAGUAUGAAAAGAUUAGUUUGUUUUAUUUCACUUGUAGCAAGCUUGGGCACAGAGAAAGUUUUUGCCCAGCGAGGGUGACGGUGGAGCCAUCCAAGAUCACGUUUGGAUGGGAUAUUUCACUAAAAGCUCUAUGAAAAAUAGCACAGGUGUGAGCACAAGUUAGAGUUUGGAUAAGGAAAAGAGAAAGAUAAUGAGUAAUUUGAAGUGAGGAUUCAGGAAAUCCUUAUCAUAAUGCUAAUUUGAAUUUAUCAGUAUCCUCAAAAUCUCAGUUGUUUCUAUUUAAUAAAGGGUUGACAAUUUGGGAACCUGCCAUUAAUACUGUUGGACCUAAUGAUAUAGGGCUUAUGGAAUUGGGUUCAAAUAGCCCUUUUUCAUUUUCUGACGGAAAGAACAAGCAGCGCACGAUAGGCAAGAUACCAAUUUUUUCGGCCAAUGUUUAUUUUUUUUGAGGAAAUCAAUGACAUAUCGGUUGGCUCUAUGGUGCAAGACAAUUAGCCACAAUGAAAACCUUAAACUAGAAUGUUCAUGGUCUAAAGAAAUCACGGGCUGUGAAUCGUCUCAAGAAUAAACUGAGAGAUAUUCGUUCCUAAAUUUUGUUUCUUAUGGAAACAAAAAUCAGUGUGAGGAGAAUGGAAAGAGGUUGACGUAAAUGUGGUUUUGUUAAUGGAAUUAAUGUUGGUGCUAUUGGUUCUAGAGGUGGAUUGUUUCUAAGAUAGACGCAUGAUUGUGUGGUGAGCUUAAGAAGUUAUUCGCAAUACCACAUUGAUGCGGUAAUUCAUAAAGAUGAUGGUGAGUUAGUGUGACAAUUCAUUGGAUUUUACGGACAUCUUGAAGAUCAGUUGCGUAGUGAUCCUUGGAAUUUACUCAGACAUUUGGGUCAAGAUCAUUCAUUACCAUGGUUGGUAAUAGGCGACUUCAAUAAGAUAACGUAUUCUUUUCAAAACAUAUGUGAUCAUCUUCGAUCGAAACAAAAUAUGAAGGCUUUCAGAUCAACAUUAUAAGAUUUUGGUCUGAGUGACUUGGGGUUCUCGGGUUGUUGGCUCACUUGGGAAAGAGGUCGGUUGUCAAAAAAUAACAUUCGGGAAAGAUUAGAUAGAGGACUAGCUAAUACGGCUUAGUGGAAUACCUUUCUUGAUUAUCGAGUCCUGCAUUGGACUCACUCUUUUUCUGAUCAUUGCCCAAUGUUAAUGGACAAGUUAGGUCAAAAGUGUACCAUGAAUAAGAUGGGUCAGAUUCGAUGCCAAUUGGUGUUUGGAAGGGUCUUGUGAAGAGGUAAUUAGACAAUUUUGGUUAUAAUCUUCGGAAGCAUUACCUUUAAAAUUAGACAAGCUAGGUGAAAAUCUGCGAAAAUUGUGCAAGACAAUUAAAAAAGACGGGGAUGUUCGAAAGGAUAAAUUAGACGCUCGAAUAAAGGAACUAUAUAAGUGUGAACCUGAUGAAGACAUUCUUGCUGAACUAUUAGAAGUCCAAAUUAGCUUAAAUUUAAAAGUUGAUAAGGAGGAAUUGUUUUGUGAGCAGAGGAUGCAAAUCAAGUGGCUUCUAAAAGGAGAUAAAAACACUAUUUUCUUUCAAUUUUGCAUCAACUCAAAAAAGGAAAAAUAAAAUUUUGGGUAUUGAGAAUAAACAUGGUCGUUGGGUGUCAAAUAAAGAAGAACUUAUUAAGGUUGCCUCGAGUUAUUUUACAGAUUUGUUUACAGCUUCAAGUUUGGGGGAUGCAUCGUGUAUUUAUGCUAAUAUCCAACGAUGGGUUUCCCUGGAAAUGAAUAAGGAUUUUUUGACACCCUUUCAGACGAAGGAAGUAUGGGCUGCUGCACCUCUCAAGGCUUCAGGUAUUGAUGGUUUCCCUACUAUGUUUUAUAAAAAAAUUAUCAUAUUUUAGGGAAUAAGAUUACUACUAUGUUUUAUAAAAAAAAUUGUCAUAUUUCAGGUAUUGCUUGGUUAUGUUAAAUGGUGAGAUCGAUUUAGAAGAUAUUAAUAAGACUCGUAUUGUUUUAAUUCCGAAAAUCAGUAAACUAAAAAACAUGACUUAAUUUUGGCCAAUCAGUUUGUGGAAUGUGUUGUACAAAAUCUUUGCUAAAAUUAUUGCUUACAAAAUGUGGGGUGUUUUGGAGAGUUGCAUUGAUGAAACCUAAGAGGCUUUCAUCCUUGGUAGAUAGAUAUCUGAUAAUGUGCUUAUUUCUUAUGAGGUUUUGUAUUCUCUUAAGAUGAAGCGUUCAGGAGCAUUAGACACUUUUGCACUUAAGCUCGAUAUGAGCAAAGCGUAUGUUAGGGUAAAGUGGAAUUUUUUAUCUGGAAUGAUGGCAAGGUUGGGUUUCAUGAUCAUUGAAUUUCAUUGAUGAUGAGAUGUGUAACUUCAGUCUCUUAUACGGUGGGCAUUAACGAAGAAGUCAACGACAAGUUCCUACCUUUCAAGGGGCUACGACAAAAGGACCCACCUAAUCCUUAUUUAUUUCUAUUAUGUGCUAAGGGCUUUUCUACCAUUCUUAAUGAGGCUAAGGGUGUAAAUAAACAGCAUAUUCAAUGAACUGUUCGUGAACCAUUCGUAUAAUAUUCGUUUAUUAAACUAAAUAAACGAGUAUGAACAAAAAUUUUAUGUUCGUUUAAUAAACGAAUGAACACAAACAGAUGUGUGUUCAGUUCAUUUAUGUUCACGAGUAAGCUCAUUUAUUUAUUAAUGAAAUUUUUUUAUAAAAAUUCCAUUAGUAUAUAUUAAUAAAAUUAUCUUGGUUUGUAUUUUUUCAUUUAUAAUAUAAUUAUUAAUAUUUAUAUUUGACUAUUUUAUAUCUAAACAAUAUAUGUGUGUAUUUAUUGGUUGUUUAUUUGUUUGUUUAUUAUUUAUUAACUUUGCUCGUGAACAUGUUCAAUUAAGUUAAAUGAACAUGUUUGUGAACAAUAAACAAACGAACAUGAACAUACAUAAUUUUAAAUAAACGAACAUGAACAAAAAUUUGAAAUUCUUAAUGAACACAAACUGAACACAAACUAGCUUAAAAAUAAACAAACAAACAUGAACAAAGGUUUUUUUAUUCAAGCUCGGUUCAUUUAUAACCCUAAAUAAGGCUAGUAGAUCUGGUUUGAUAAAAGGGGCUCGAAUUGGAAAAGGAAGGUUGGCAAUCAACCAUCUGUUUUUUUCGAAUGAUUCCAUACUGUUCAGAGAUGUUUCAAUUACCGGUGCAAAGAAUAUAUGACAAAUUAUUUCAGAGUACGAAAAUGCUUCAGGCCAAAAGGUUAAUUAUGAUAAAUCCCUAAUUUAUGUCAGUUCGAAUAUGGAAAUUUCGAUUUGGGACCUCAUAGGUGGCGUUUCGGGAGUAUGAGUGUCGAAUAAUCCGGAGAAAUACCUAGGUUUACCUACAAUGGUUGGCAGACGUAAGAAAGUUGAAUGUUGUAGUAUAAGAUAUCUAUCUAUGGGUAGAAAAGAGAUGUUUAUUAAGGCGAUACUACAAGCUAUACCUCUAUAUAGAAUGCAAUGUUUUCUUCUACCUAAAAUUAUGUGUAGUAAACUAGAAAACAUUCUCAACAAAUUUUGGUGGAGAAACAACAAAUCAUCUAAUGGUAUUCAUUGUAGUACAUGGCAUUCACUCUAUUUACCAAAAGUUUGUGGAGGAUUAAGUUUCCGCGAUUUGACUAAGUUUAAUGGUGCUUUGCUAGCCAAACAAUGAUAGCGUAUUUUAUCUAAUCCAUUGAGUUUGUUGGCACAAGUAAUGAAGGCCAGGUAUUACUUGGAUUCAGAAUUUAUGAAUGCUCAGUUAAAUGCUUACCCAUCAUUUACCUGGAGAAAUAUUUGGAGUGCUCGAGGUUUAAUCGAAAAGGGAGUCGGUUGGAAAAUUGGCAUAGGUGAGAAUAUAAAUAUCUGGAAUGAUUCUUGAAUCCCUGGACCUAGAAAUGGAAGAAUACAAGGUCAGAACAUAGAUUUCAGGUACACAAAAGUAUCAAAAUUAAUUAAUCAUAAUUCCAAUACCUGGGUAGAAGAAAGAGUGAGACUCUUUUUUUAUGAAGACCAUGUAGAGAGAAUCCUAUGUAUUCCACUUGUCCAAUCAAAGCCAAUAAACGAAUUGGUGUGGAGACAUGAAGGUUUUGGUGAAUAUUCUUCAAAGAGUGGUUAUAGGCUUCUAGACAAGGAGUUACAAAACAAGGGUCUAUAUUCUACAGCCAUGCCUAAUUUAGUUACAACAUUCUACAUUAAUUUGUGGACACUACAACUCCGAACAAAAAUCAAGAUUAGAGUAUAGAGAUUCUCAAAAAAUUAUCUACCAACUUUUGAUAAUUUACAACGCAGAAAACUACAAGUUAAAAAUGUCUGUCCCUUGUGCAAUUCAGCUAAAAAAUCUAUUGACCAUUUGUUACGACACUGCUCUGUUUCCAAGAAAGUUCUGGACUCAUUGAAUGUUACGACUAUCCUUAUCUCACAUAAUUCAGAUUAUAAAACAUGGUUAGCAAAGGUUUUCAUGCAACCUAACACAAGAUUAGAGAAGUUAUCGGUGAUAUCUUACUGGGCAAUUUGGUUUGGUAUGCAUGAAAUAAGUUUGUUCAUGAGGGUGUUAGAUAAUCAGUGCAGGGUUUAACAGUGUUUAUUAAGGCACACCUAUUAGAGCUACAGGCUCUGGGUAAACUAAAUCCAUCAGUUUUUUCACCUAAACAGGAGAAAUGUGUGCCACCAGGUUCUGACAGUAUUAAACUUAAUUUUGAUGCAUCUUUUAGCCCUAAUACAAAAACUUCUAUCUCAAGAGUACUGGCUAGAAAUUCUUCAGGCCUUAUUAUGGUUGCAUGUACUUACCCCACCAUGGUGUUGCUGAUGCCUUCAUUGCCGAAGCACGGGCGUAUGAGUAGGCCAUCAUCUUUGUGGCUGAGUUAGGAUUUUGAUCAGUACAGAUGGAGGGCAAUUCACUUACUGCCACCAAGAAAUUGACUUCUCCUACACUAGACAAGUCUAUCAUUAGCCCGAUUGUUCAAGAUAUUAAGGCAAAAUUGGGGAUAAUUGCAAAAGUCACCUUUUGUUUUGCUGGAAGACAAGCCAACAUCAUUGCUCACGCACUGGCUGGAGAAGGUUGUCCAUUCUCGGUCCAGCGGUACUGGAUAGAGAAAGCGUCAUUUAUGGUGGAACGGGCGGCCAAAAGGGACUUGCAAAGAUGGUUUCAUCAGAAUUAAUCUGCACCUGACUGCUUUGGAAUUUGGAGAUUUUCUAAUCUUUUACCUCCAACUGGUUUCCAAAGCUUUUCUCUCUCUUUUGAUAUCAAUGGUUUGUUCGCAGACCAGAAUUUUGAAGCUUGGAUUGGAGAGAGUUUUUCGACUGGUUUUCAUCGGGUUAGGAGGAAAGCAAGGAAAGAGUUUUGAGUUUGUUUUUUUUUUUUUUUUCAGAUGGUAAUCUCUCCUUAUCUGUUGGUUGCCUUUUCAAAUCUUGGACAAUGUAUUGACGAGCCCGAGGGUU
rnacentral:lncRNA from 1 species